GUUAACAAUGAGUCGAUUUGGCCG
rnacentral:siRNA from 1 species